rnacentral:lncRNA from 1 species
AAAACAAUCACGUAAAAGAAAAGCAGCACAAUCGGGUCCCAGCGUUAAAGCAGAGACGAGGGAUCCUUAAAUAGCAUAUUCCACAAAGAGACAGGUCACAUGAUCAAGUUGUGAAAUAUAUGAAUAUGCAUAAAAAUAAUAUCUUAGCAAUCAAGAGGGAUAGAGUUUGUUACGCUAACAGCUAUAACUUGUUGCUCAUUUCAUUGAUUGAAAAUGUCUUUAUUCUAAGAAGCUUUCUUUUUAGGCCUCUUAAUGUUUUUAAGUCUCCUAUAUUUUCGUUUUUACCCCUAAUCUAUACACCUUGCAGAUAUCUUCCAAAGCGUUUUCUUUUAGUUGAUUCCGGUAGAUAAGUAUAGAAGGAUUUGGGUGUUAUCUUCUAAAGGAAUGUCUAUUUACAUAUGGUUAAUAUAUUUCAUUGGAUUAAAAGAAAUAAUUUUAAAAAUUCAUUUUUUAAAUAUAAGCAAAUUUUGUUUAUAUUUAAAAAUGGAGAGAAUAACGGAUAAUUGAGAUAGUUGGGAUUAAAUUUCAUUACCACUCGGGCUUAGGCCACUUCGUUUCCCAAGAAAAAAAUUGCAUUACCACUUUCUAAUGUACUCUGUAGUUUAUAACAAUUUAUGUACUCUCUGUAAACCAUUAGUCUAAGUCUUAAAAGUCAAUAACAGUUUAUGUACGUUCGUAAUUGUUUCUUCAGUGCUUUGUGCCUACUGCCUAAUAUGUUGUUGACUCAACGAAACCAUAGAGAAGCUGAUAUUUCAAACUACAACUAGUGUUUUUUACCAUAGAAAGGUUUCUCUAAAAAAAAAAAAGUUAAAUAUGUUUUUGGUCCCUAUAAAUAUACUAACUUUUCGUUUUAGUCCCUUUAAAAUUUUCCUUCAACUUUUAGUUCCUAUAAAAUUUUCAAUCUUGACUUUUGAUCCCUCGUUUAAAGUAAAC